UACGGAAGAUGCGAGCGUUAUCCGGAUUUAUUGGGUUUAAAGGGAGCGUAGGCGGGCUUUUAAGUCAGCGGUCAAAUGUCACGGCUCAACCGUGGCCAGCCGUUGAAACUGCAAGCCUUGAGUCUGCACAGGGCACAUGGAAUUCGUGGUGUAGCGGUGAAAUGCUUAGAUAUCACGAAGAACUCCGAUCGCGAAGGCAUUGUGCCGGGGCAGCACUGACGCUGAGGCUCGAAAGUGCGGGUAUCAAACAGG
rnacentral:rRNA from 1 species